rnacentral:rRNA from 1 species
UUAGCGGCGGACGGGUGAGUAACACGUGGGUAACCUACCUAUAAGACUGGGAUAACUCCGGGAAACCGGGGCUAAUACCGGAUAAUAUUUUGAACCGCAUGGUUCAAUAGUGAAAGACGGUUUCGGCUGUCACUUAUAGAUGGACCCGCGCCGUAUUAGCUAGUUGGUAAGGUAACGGCUUACCAAGGCGACGAUACGUAGCCGACCUGAGAGGGUGAUCGGCCACACUGGAACUGAGACACGGUCCAGACUCCUACGGGAGGCAGCAGUAGGGAAUCUUCCGCAAUGGGCGAAAGCCUGACGGAGCAACGCCGCGUGAGUGAUGAAGGUCUUCGGAUCGUAAAACUCUGUUGUUAGGGAAGAACAAAUUUGUUAGUAACUGAACAAGUCUUGACGGUACCUAACCAGAAAGCCACGGCUAACUACGUGCCAGCAGCCGCGGUAAUACGUAGGUGGCAAGCGUUAUCCGGAAUUAUUGGGCGUAAAGCGCGCGUAGGCGGUUUCUUAAGUCUGAUGUGAAAGCCCACGGCUCAACCGUGGAGGGUCAUUGGAAACUGGGAAACUUGAGUGCAGAAGAGGAGAGUGGAAUUCCAUGUGUAGCGGUGAAAUGCGCAGAGAUAUGGAGGAACACCAGUGGCGAAGGCGGCUCUCUGGUCUGUAACUGACGCUGAUGUGCGAAAGCGUGGGGAUCAAACAGGAUUAGAUACCCUGGUAGUCCACGCCGUAAACGAUGAGUGCUAAGUGUUAGGGGGUUUCCGCCCCUUAGUGCUGCAGCUAACGCAUUAAGCACUCCGCCUGGGGAGUACGACCGCAAGGUUGAAACUCAAAGGAAUUGACGGGGACCCGCACAAGCGGUGGAGCAUGUGGUUUAAUUCGAAGCAACGCGAAGAACCUUACCAAAUCUUGACAUCCUUUGACCGCUCUAGAGAUAGAGUCUUCCCCUUCGGGGGACAAAGUGACAGGUGGUGCAUGGUUGUCGUCAGCUCGUGUCGUGAGAUGUUGGGUUAAGUCCCGCAACGAGCGCAACCCUUAAGCUUAGUUGCCAUCAUUAAGUUGGGCACUCUAGGUUGACUGCCGGUGACAAACCGGAGGAAGGUGGGGAUGACGUCAAAUCAUCAUGCCCCUUAUGAUUUGGGCUACACACGUGCUACAAUGGAUAAUACAAAGGGCAGCGAAUCCGCGAGGCCAAGCAAAUCCCAUAAAAUUAUUCUCAGUUCGGAUUGUAGUCUGCAACUCGACUACAUGAAGCUGGAAUCGCUAGUAAUCGUAGAUCAGCAUGCUACGGUGAAUACGUUCCCGGGUCUUGUACACACCGCCCGUCACACCACGAGAGUUUGUAACACCCGAAGCCGGUGGAGUAAC